rnacentral:rRNA from 1 species
UUUUACUCGGAUAACUGUGGUAAUUCUAGAGCUAAUACGUGCUGAAAUGCCCAACUUCGGAAGGGCUGUAUUUAUUAGAUUAAAAACCAAUGCCCUUCGGGGCUUACUGGUGAUUCAUAAUAACUUCUCGAAUCGCAUGGCCUUGCGCCGGCGAUGGUUCAUUCAAAUUUCUUCCCUAUCAACUUUCGAUGCGAGGGUCUUGUCCUCGCAUGGUUGCAACGGGUAACGGAGGGUUAGGGCUCGACCCCGGAGAAGGAGCCUGAGAAACGGCUACUACAUCCAAGGAAGGCAGCAGGCGCGCAAAUUACCCAAUCCCGACACGGGGAGGUAGUGACAAUAAAUACUGAUACAGGGCUCUUUUGGGUCUUGUAAUCGGAAUGAGUACUAUUUAAAUCCCAUAACGAGGAACAAUUGGAGGGCAAGUCUGGUGCCAGCAGCCGCGGUAAUUCCAGCUCCAAUAGCGUAUAUUAAAGUUGUUGUGGUUAAAAAGCUCGUAGUUGAACCUUGGGCCUGGCUUGUCGGUCCCCCUCACCGGGUGCACCGUUCCAGCCGGGCCUUUCCCUCUGUGGAACCCCAUGGCCUUUACUGGUCGUGGCGGGGAAACAGGACUUUUACUUUGAAAAAAUUAGAGUGCUCCAGGCAGGCCUAUGCUCGAAUACAUUAGCAUGGAAUAAUAAAAUAGGACGCGUGGUUCUAUUUUGUUGGUUUCUAGGACCGCCGUAAUGAUUAAUAGGGACAGUCGGGGGCGUCUGUAUUCAAUUGUCAGAGGUGAAAUUCUUGGAUCUAUUGAAGACAAACUACUGCGAAAGCAUUCGCCAAGGAUGUUUUCAUUGAUAAGGAACGAAAGUUAGGGGAUCGAAGACGAUCAGAUACCGUCGUAGUCUUAACUAUAAACUAUGCCGACUAGGGAUCGGACGAUGUUAUUUUUUGACUCGUUCGGCACCUUUCGAGAAAUCAAAGUGCU